UACAGAGGUCUCAAGCGUUUGUUCGGAUUCAUUGGGCGUAAAGGGUGCGUAGGCGGCGCGGUAAGUCGGGUGUGAAAUUUCGAGGCUUAACUUCGAAACUGCAUUCGAUACUGCCGUGCUAGAGGACUGGAGAGGAGACGUGGAAUUUACGGUGUAGCGGUGAAAUGCGUAGAUAUCGUAAGGAAGACCAGUGGCGAAGG
rnacentral:rRNA from 1 species